rnacentral:rRNA from 1 species
UACGUAGGGUGCGAGCGUUUGCCGGAAUUAUUGGGCGUAAAGGGCUCGUAGGCGGUUUGUCGCGUCGGGAGUGAAAACUCAGGGCUUAACCCUGAGCCUGCUUCCGAUACGGGCAGACUAGAGGUAUGCAGGGGAGAACGGAAUUCCUGGUGUAGCGGUGAAAUGCGCAGAUAUCAGGAGGAACACCGGUGGCGAAGGCGGUUCUCUGGGCAUUACCUGACGCUGAGGAGCGAAAGUGUGGGGAGCGAACAGG